CAACCUCAACUCAUAUGGGACUACCCCCUGAAUUUAAGCAUAUUAAUUAGGGGAGGAAAAGAAACUAACAAGGAUUUUCUUAGUAGCGGCGAGCGAAAAGAAAUCAGUUCAGCACUAAGUCACUUUGUCUAUAUGGCAAAUGUGAGAUGCAGUGUAUGGAGCGUCAAUAUUCUAGUAUGAGAAAUUAACGAUUUAAGUCCUUCUUAAAUGAGGCCAUUUACCCAUAGAGGGUGCCAGGCCCGUAUAACGUUAAUGAUUACUAGAUGAUGUUUCCAAAGAGUCGUGUUGCUUGAUAGUGCAGCACUAAGUGGGUGGUAAACUCCAUCUAAAACUAAAUAUAACCAUGAGACCGAUAGUAAACAAGUACCGUGAAGGAAAGUUGAAAAGAACUCUGAAUAGAGAGUUAAACAGUACGUGAAACUGCUUAGAGGUUAAGCCCGAUGAACCUGAAUAUCCGUUAUGGAAAAUUCAUCAUUAGAAUUGUAAUAUUUAAACAAUAUUAUGAUAAUAGUGUGCAUUUUUUCCAUAUAAGGACAUUGUAAUCUAUUAGCAUACCAAAUUUAUCAUAAAAUAUAACUUAUAGUUUAUUCAAAUUAAUUUGCUUGCAUUUUAACACAGAAUAAAUGUUAUUAAUUUGAUAAAGUGCUGAUAGAUUUAUAUGAAUACAGUGCGUUAAUUUUUCGGAAUUAUAUAAUGGCAUAAUUAUCAUUGAUUUUUGUGUUUAUUAUAUGCACUUGUAGGAUUAACAAUGCGAAAGAUUCAGGAUACCUUCGGGACCCGUCUUGAAACACGGACCAAGGAGUCUAACAUAUGUGCAAGUUAUUGGGAUAUAAACCUAAUAGCGUAAUUAACUUGACUAAUAAUGGGAUUAGUUUUUUAACUAUUUAUAGCUAAUUAACACAAUCCCGGGGCGUUCUAUAUAGUUAUGUAUAAUGAUAUUUAUAUUAUUUAUGCCUCUAACUGGAACGUACCUUGAGCAUAUAUGCUGUGACCCGAAAGAUGGUGAACUAUACUUGAUCAGGUUGAAGUCAGGGGAAACCCUGAUGGAAGACCGAAACAGUUCUGACGUGCAAAUCGAUUGUCAGAAUUGAGUAUAGGGGCGAAAGACCAAUCGAACCAUCUAGUAGCUGGUUCCUUCCGAAGUUUCCCUCAGGAUAGCUGGUGCAUUUUAAUAUUAUAUAAAAUAAUCUUAUCUGGUAAAGCGAAUGAUUAGAGGCCUUAGGGUCGAAACGAUCUUAACCUAUUCUCAAACUUUAAAUGGGUAAGAACCUUAACUUUCUUGAUAUGAAGUUCAAGGUUAUGAUAUAAUGUGCCCAGUGGGCCACUUUUGGUAAGCAGAACUGGCGCUGUGGGAUGAACCAAACGUAAUGUUACGGUGCCCAAAUUAACAACUCAUGCAGAUACCAUGAAAGGCGUUGGUUGCUUAAAACAGCAGGACGGUGAUCAUGGAAGUCGAAAUCCGCUAAGGAGUGUGUAACAACUCACCUGCCGAAGCAACUAGCCCUUAAAAUGGAUGGCGCUUAAGUUGUAUACCUAUACAUUACCGCUAAAGUAGAUGAUUUAUAUUACUUGUAAUAUAAAUUUUGAAACUUUAGUGAGUAGGAAGGUACAAUGGUAUGCGUAGAAGUGUUUGGCGUAAGCCUGCAUGGAGCUGCCAUUGGUACAGAUCUUGGUGGUAGUAGCAAAUAAUCGAAUGAGACCUUGGAGGACUGAAGUGGAGAAGGGUUUCGUGUGAACAGUGGUUGAUCACGAGUUAGUCGGUCCUAAGUUCAAGGCGAAAGCCGAAAAUUUUCAAGUAAAAUACAAAUGCCAAACAAAUAUAUAUAUUAUAUAAAAUCUAGCUAAAUUAAUAUACUUGAAUAAUUUUGAACGAAAGGGAAUACGGUUCCAAUUCCGUAACCUGUUGAGUAUCCGUUUGUUAUUAAAUAUGGGCCUCGUGCUCAUCCUGGCAACAGGAACGACCAUAAAGAAGCCGUCGAGAGAUAUCGGAAGAGUUUUCUUUUCUGUUUUAUAGCCGUACUACCAUGGAAGUCUUUCGCAGAGAGAUAUGGUAGAUGGGCUAGAAGAGCAUGACAUAUACUGUUGUGUCGAUAUUUUCUCCUCGGACCUUGAAAAUUUAUGGUGGGGACACGCAAACUUCUCAACAGGCCGUACCAAUAUCCGCAGCUGGUCUCCAAGGUGAAGAGUCUCUAGUCGAUAGAAUAAUGUAGGUAAGGGAAGUCGGCAAAUUAGAUCCGUAACUUCGGGAUAAGGAUUGGCUCUGAAGAUUGAGAUAGUCGGGCUUGAUUGGGAAACAAUAACAUGGUUUAUGUGCUCGUUCUGGGUAAAUAGAGUUUCUAGCAUUUAUGUUAGUUACUUGUUCCCCGGAUAGUUUAGUUACGUAGCCAAUUGUGGAACUUUCUUGCUAAAAUUUUUAAGAAUACUAAUUGGGUUAAACCAAUUAGUUCUUAUUAAUUAUAACGAUUAUCAAUUAACAAUCAAUUCAGAACUGGCACGGACUUGGGGAAUCCGACUGUCUAAUUAAAACAAAGCAUUGUGAUGGCCCUAGCGGGUGUUGACACAAUGUGAUUUCUGCCCAGUGCUCUGAAUGUCAAAGUGAAGAAAUUCAAGUAAGCGCGGGUCAACGGCGGGAGUAACUAUGACUCUCUUAAGGUAGCCAAAUGCCUCGUCAUCUAAUUAGUGACGCGCAUGAAUGGAUUAACGAGAUUCCUACUGUCCCUAUCUACUAUCUAGCGAAACCACAGCCAAGGGAACGGGCUUGGAAUAAUUAGCGGGGAAAGAAGACCCUUUUGAGCUUGACUCUAAUCUGGCAGUGUAAGGAGACAUAAGAGGUGUAGAAUAAGUGGGAGAUAUUAGACCUCGGUUUGGUAUCGCCAAUGAAAUACCACUACUCUUAUUGUUUCCUUACUUACUUGAUUAAAUGGAACGUGUAUCAUUUCCUAGCCAUUAUACGGAUAUAUUUAUUAUAUCUUAUGGUAUUGGGUUUUGAUGCAAGCUUCUUGAUCAAAGUAUCACGAGUUUGUUAUAUAAUCGCAAACAAAUUCUUUAAUAAAACGGUGCAUUUAUGUAUUUUUGAUUUGAAAAUUUGGUAUAACUCCAAUUACUCAGGUAUGAUCCAAUUCAAGGACAUUGCCAGGUAGGGAGUUUGACUGGGGCGGUACAUCUCUCAAAUAAUAACGGAGGUGUCCCAAGGCCAGCUCAGUGCGGACAGAAACCACACAUAGAGCAAAAGGGCAAAUGCUGACUUGAUCUCGGUGUUCAGUACACACAGGGACAGCAAAAGCUCGGCCUAUCGAUCCUUUUGGUUUAAAGAGUUUUUAACAAGAGGUGUCAGAAAAGUUACCAUAGGGAUAACUGGCUUGUGGCGGCCAAGCGUUCAUAGCGACGUCGCUUUUUGAUCCUUUGAUGUCGGCUCUUCCUAUCAUUGUGAAGCAAAAUUCACCAAGCGUUGGAUUGUUCACCCAUGCAAGGGAACGUGAGCUGGGUUUAGACCGUCGUGAGACAGGUUAGUUUUACCCUACUAAUGACAAAACGUUGUUGCGACAGCAUUCCUGCGUAGUACGAGAGGAACCGCAGGUACGGACCAAUGGCACAAUACUUGUUCGAGCGAACAGUGGUAUGACGCUACGUCCGUUGGAUUAUGCCUGAACGCCUCUAAGGUCGUAUCCGUGCUGGACUGCAAUGAUAAAUAAGGGGCAAUUUGCAUUGUAUGGCUUCUAAACCAUUUAAAGUUUAUAAUUUACUUUUUAAACGACAAUGGAUGUGAUGCCAAUGUAAUUUGUAACAUAGUAAAUUGGGAGGAUCUUUGAUCACCUGAUGCCGCGCUAGUUACAUAUAAAAGCAUUAUUUAAUACAAUGACAAAGCCUAGAAUCAAUUGUAAACGACUUUUGUAACAGGCAAGGUGUUGUAAGUGGUUGAGCAGCUGCCAUACUGCGAUCCACUGAAGCUUAUCCUUUGCUUGAUGAUUCGA